rnacentral:rRNA from 1 species
GAGGGAGAAAGCCGCAAGGUGAGUAAACCGGCGAACGGGUGCGUAACACGUGGAUAAUCUACCUUCCUGACCGGGACAACUGGCCGAAAGGCUUGCUAAUACCGGAUAAGACCCCGGGUUCUUCGGAGCUUGAGGGAAAAGGUGGCCUCUGUAAACAAGCUAUCACAGGGAGAUGAGUCCGCGGCCCAUCAGCUAGUUGGCGGGGUAAAAGCCCACCAAGGCGACGACGGGUAGCUGGUCUGAGAGGAUGAUCAGCCACACUGGAACUGAGACACGGUCCAGACUCCUACGGGAGGCAGCAGUGGGGAAUCUUGCGCAAUGGGCGAAAGCCUGACGCAGCAACGCCGCGUGUGUGAUGAAGGUACUUCGGAUCGUAAAGCACUGUACGCGAGGGAAGAUAAGCCACCAGCCAAUAACUGGGGGCUAAGACGGUACCUCGAGAGGAAGCACCGGCUAACUAUGUG